UGGGCCCUGUGCUCCCGGGGCACCCGGAGCCGGGGCUGCAGCUGUGGCAAGAAGCAGCCAGAGACCGGGGUGCCCAGCGAGGCCUGCGGAGGAGGCACCCGCGGGCGGCAGGUGCAGCCGGGCGGGAGGGGGCACCUGCGCAGGGCCGCGGUGGCGCGGUGGUGACCACUUAGACCGGGCCUGCCUGCGCUAAGAAAACAGCUGUGGAGCGUUCAAGAAAAUGCUCAGGAUCACGGAAGGGCGUUGCUUUCAGGAAUGUGACAAGAGUACGGAGGGCAGCAGGGAGAGAUGAGCCAAGGAGGCAUCUUAGAGACCUUGUUCAGAUUCAGGAGGGAAGGAGACAAUCCUGACGCCAACGGGAUGCAUGGCUGUGACCAUUCAUGCAGCGGAGUCAACAAGAGCGAGGGAAUGGAAUUCGUGAUUCCACACAAAGAAGCAAUCUUGGAGUUGCUUAGACAGGCUGUUGACCUCCUCAUUGGCCCUCCUGUUUCCAGAGUGAGCCCGUACAGAUGGCCACUGACAUGACAGCUACACCUGGUCACUGAGCACAGAAAUGCACCUCAUGCAGAAUUUUGCAGGAUCUAAGAUAUUUCAUAGCAACAAUGAUUCCGUCUGGGAUACGUGAGAGGAAAUGGCUAGUUCUACAGCAGUUCCCGACCUUCUGAGAGGGUGGCCUCCGACUGGAUCCCGCAAGAAAUGUAGGCGCACAGGAUCUGGAAUGGAACUGGGACAGACACGGGGUCUCGAAGGCUCUGCUUGGGAGCUUUACGGAUGCCCCUGCACUGAACUCCCGCAGCCUGAGCGCAGCAGACCCUCUGCGGUGGUGGGACCUGGCACACAUGCUCGGAAGCGAUUCUGCUCUGCAAAGCUGAGGCCCUGUCGUGGCUGAUUCUCUUUUCAACUACGAGGUACAAAGCGCAGGCUGCUGGCCCUGGAGCCCCCACCACAGACAAGUCCUCCCUCCCUGGAUCCUCCAGAGCACCUGCCAACCCCUGCAGCUCUGACCCAUCCUCCUGGAACAAAAUUAAGUCAGGCUCCUUUCUGUCUCUAGAUGGAGAGAAAAAAGGUCCCUGAGAGGACACCCAUAAAUCACCCCAAAGCAGUUGUUCUUUCUCAAAGUAGUACAGGAUAGACAUUUAGUAUUUUUAAAAACUCUGGAAGAGACAAACUAUAAAGAAAAUGCUUCUAUAAGCACAGUCUCUGCAAAAACUCAACAGGCCUUCUAUCACACAACACAUACGGCUUUGCUAUCAGUGGUGUGCGGCUUUCGAAAAGGAUAUGAUUCAUAGUCCAGUGUUUGUGUGAGCACUCCAGUGAGAAUGAACUCUGCAUUGUGAACAUCUGAAAGGAAUGAAACCAACAAUGUGAAAGUAAAUGUGCUGCUGUGUGUACACACACACACCAAUAAAAAGAGCAAUAAGCCAUACCUAUUCCUCUGGCAAAAUAUUCUCGACAUAAAUGAAGGUCAUUUUCACAGGAUAUUAAAAUUAUUUCUGACAAACUCUAAGGAAAAGAAAAGGAGGUUAUUGGUUACUGAACAAGGAAUGUCAUUGGGCAGUGACAAAAUCAGCAGCCUGUCUUCUACCUACCUUAUUUUGCUUGUGCUCCACGAGUUUCCGGAAAGAUGGUUGUUUAGACAACACUCGUCCUCCUGCACAUUCCACGAUCGCCUUCAUGGUCGAAAGACUUGGGCAGAUUCCAGGUGUGAUGUAAAAAUAUUUCGCCUAAAAAUAAAAAUAUGUGCACAUUUUUAAAUGCUUUGAAUCUUGGGGGUAUGUAAUUUUUCAUAAAUUCUACUGGCAGUUUUUAUAAAAUGUAUAAUUUCAUGAAGUUACAGAAGUACCAGACCCUGCAAGUUCCCAACGUGAGGUGGGCCUGGAGGGACCAAGGAUGCCAAUCUGAAAAAACUGAAGCAUUUUCCUGUAUAAGGUAAGGCUUGUGAUUAGUAGAAGUACCUGGAACCUCUGCCCUAAGAGACACGAAGGAUCCCGUGGUAUCGGCAAGGACGCUACAUCAUCCACCUCGUGUGUCAAGCGAGAGGCGGCUGAGAACCUGCAUGACCUCUCUUCAAUACCUGUGUGCUUCGUGGGCUCAGACCAGGAAAUGAUCCUGAUGGUGGAGAUCUAACUCUCCAAUGUCUGUUCUCUGAAGUGCACCACAAAAUACUAUGUUUUAAACUGCUCAUAGAAAAAGAACAUUUAGAGAACUCAGACUAUUUUAGGGAAGCUCCAUCGUAACAUUCUCAUUUUCAUUCCUAAGCUGGUUCCUUGAAAAGGGUAAAAGCAGAACGAUACAAAAAUUUUUUUCAAGCUGUUCUAACAAAUAUUUAAAAGUCUUCUGUCUUAAAUUGUUUAAGUAUACAAUAUUUUUCCAAGAAUCCUCAUUUUGCAGCUGAGCAUACAUUUAAUGAGAAGAGCAUGAAGUAGCAAAGAUUUGUGAAAAGCAGAAAAAUCAACCUAAGUGUCUCUUACCAAUUAGAUUAUUCAUAACACACUCCCUGAACACCCAGACACUUUGUUGAGCGUGUCUAACAGAAUGAAGGGCAGUGCUCUGGAGGCACGCUGGGCCUCCCCAGCAGAGACCUCCAGGAACACGACCAGCUCCCCGGGGCCAGUGUGUGCUACCCACUUAGUUACUGUCCCUCCCACUGUGCUAUGUGUUGGCAUACAGGGCAACUACACUUUACCUUGAAGAGGGGGGAGGUGUGCGCCCUUUUCAGGGACUCUUCCAGACUGAAAGAGAACAGCACUUCGGCUUCAGCGUCUCGGAGGAGGUAGUUCUGCUCAUCUGGAAAACAGAGCCACCGGGUCAGAAAAGUGCAGACUAGAGGAAUACUGGGUACAGAGUUCCGCCCUAGAGGUCUCCCCACAGGUCAGGGGCAUGUGUCGCUCACGGCUCACACUUCCCUGGGAACCUCAGAAUACUGAGAUCUCACACCCUCCCCCCUGAAUACAGCCAGACAAAGGAAAGAUAGACUGCCUUCUCUGCAGCAUGUCUUAACCUCUGGGGUCAUACACUCUUGAAAACAAAUGGAUGGAGAACCGGGGACCCUCUCUACUGCCACACCCUGCCACCAGUUCAUGCGGUUUCAGGGAGUUCACAGUCCCAGCGCCACCAGCUCAGAACCAGCAUCACAUCCACGUGUGUAUGAUGACCACAAGUCUCAUCAAUUAGACUCACUGAGCUCAUAAUCCAUUACACUUUAUAGAUCUAACAAAAAUAUUCCUUUUAAAUAUAUGAAAGUAGCAACUCAGAAUAGUUUCACUAAAUCUUGAAGCCUUAGGAGAAUUUUAAUUAACUUUUUCAGAGUUCUCAUGGUAACACCCUAAGAAAUGUCCAUUUACCAAAAGUCAAAGAUCACAAAAUGUUUUAAGUGUCUUAACCAAGUAGCAAAACACAGAGGCCUCUCACCCGAUGACACAGUCACCUGAAGUGGAGCACAGGGAAGUCUGGGGGUAGGGGCUGGCCAACAGGGCAGCCAACAGGACACACAGGUUGGGACUUGCAGGCCACACACUGUUUCUGCUGAACAUCCUUCUUUUCAUAAAGCAAUGAGGCUUUAAACAUGUAAAAAACAUUCUUAGCUCACAGGCCACAGUUUGCUGACCCUGAGCAAAAAACAGAGAAUGAAAUUCUUAACUGCUAGAAAUACAAGAUCAUUUGAUCAGCCAGAGAAAGCUGCUCUGCUGUUUUAAGUGAAAAAAUGUGUCUGAAAACAGAAAUAAAAAAUGAAAAGUA